AUUUUAGCCUCAACAUGCUUAAUUGUGGAUACUGUGUUCAAAAUUGCCAAAUCAAGAUAUAUUUUUAAAUUAGGAUGUAAUAUUGACAAUUAAUAUUUUAAUGUUUGACAAUCAGAUUUUUCUUUUUGAAGAAAACAAAUUUUUUUUUUUCAAAUUCUAUAUAUUGGGAAUUGUGGAACGGAACUAAAUCGGAUCGGUCUUCACGAUCCAUUUCAGGUUUGAUUUUAUGUUAUAACCGUUUCCGUUCUAGUUUUAUAGGAAGUCAGUAUAAUUUGUCCAUAUAUAAAAUAUGUACACAUAAAAAAAAAUAACUAAAAAAAUAAAAAAUUGAGAAUUUCCUUUCCUUUUCUUAAAAUUCCAUUCCGAGAAGAAUUUGGUCAGGCAAGGAAAAGAAAUAAUGGCAAAGAAAAGAAAUCAAUCGUGACGAUCUUGUCAACAGGAAGAGGAAGAAAUUGGGGCAAAUCCAUGGCAGACAUGAUAGUGUCCACUGCAAAGAGGAGAAAUCGGUUGCCGAUCAGAAGAGGAGUGGCCAAAGCAACAGCAACGGCGGCAACGACAGCGGUGACCACGAAGGCGGCGGAGAAAAGAAAUCAUCAGUCAUGCAUUCUAGAUCGUCUUCCUCCCCAGAUCAUUAUCCCUACGCCUUCACCCUAGAAGCAGCAGCCUAUGGCGACAUUGUGGCUUCUCCAGUAAAGAUGGACCUGCACUAUAAUCGGUCCUUGCCAUGGGUUGUUGUGCUCGAAGUUCGGCAGAACAGAUUUUUAUGUAUCCAAUCUCUCCACCAAAGAGUCCAAGCGAAUACCCGAAACUGAGGUUAAAUUCUGUUUUUGGGAUGGUUUUUGUGUAAAGGGAUUUGGCUAUGAUCACUCCGUUGAUGAUUACAAACUGGUGACAGCAGAUAAAAAAAAGCUAUUAUGUAUAUUCACUAAGAACUGAUUCCUGGAAAAAGGUUCGAGGCCUUCCUAACAAUCACAAGAAUAGAGUCUUGAGCCCGGGGUACUGGUGAAUGGAGCUAUCCACUGGAUCUAUGAUGACCGCGGGUCAAGAAAGAUUGUUGCUUUCUGUUUGGCGGACGAGAAAUUUUGGGAGUUUCCGGAUCCUAUUCCCUCUAUCAAACACAUCCACGGCUUGGGGUUGCUUGGAGGAUGUCUUUGUAUUACUCCAUAUAAUGGUGGUGAAUUCUGGGUGAUGAAAGAAUAUGGCGUGGCACAGUCUUGGACUAAAGUUGCCAUUGAAAUCCCAUCUUACAGAAUCCGUCUGUUUGCUUUGUUGGAGAACCAUGAAGCCAUAUUAAAGAUAGACUCCGAGAAGUUAGUUCUAUACAAUACAAGAGAGGGAACAUACAGGGAUCUGGUACUUCGGAAUUUCCCAGAUGUGAAGAAGAUGAUGUAUGCGGGAGCUUAUGUGGAGAGCAUCGUAUCACCCUGUCAUGGAAGUUUGAGUUAGAGGCAAUAUCAUGAACAAAUUUAUUUCAGGAUGACUGGAUAGGUAUGCCAAAUAACUAUUUCAUGUCUUUUUUCACUGUUAUUUUCAAUUCAAUGAAGCAAGCAUUGUUCUGUAUUACUAUUCCUCAAAAGACAUUCUAUAUGCUUGAGGUUUUCAAUAUGUAGGAGGGUUUUUGGUGUUUGA